AAAAAGAACGAAGGAAACCAGCAAUGAUAAUGGUUAUUCUCCAGAUGCAGGUAGAGAUGUCCCUGGAGUUGAGUCUAUCCUUUUGGCACUUGUAAGGCAAAAAAUUAACUCUGCUGACAGAAUGUUAAACUAAAGGAAAGGAGGGAUCCUUUCUCAGAAGAACUUACAUCAACUUGUUUCAGUUAUUUUUACAGCAGGUUCUUCUGCAGAGAUUGCCCAGAGAAUUGAGUCAUUCUAGUACCAGGGACUUUUGAACGAAAGGCUAGGGAUUAAUUUCCAGCUCUUGAUUAGACUGUAGAGUCAGUCUACCAGUUCUAGAAGAAACCUUUGCUAUUCUUCAGUUUAACUCGCUUAAUUUGCAGGAAAGGGCCUUAAGGUCCUGAAAGAUGGAUGAUCAUACAAGUCAGUGACAGCUGGCCUUGCCAUCUUAUUUCCUGACACCAAAACUGUUUUUUUUUGUUUUGUUUUUUUUUUUUUUUUUUUUUUUUUCAGAACAACCCAAAAGCUCUGCUGGGCUGGAGAAUAUGCUCAGAGUUGGCUCACCUGUGAAAGACAGUUAAGGCCACAACUGCUUUGAUGGGAACAGAAUGAAACAGGAAAGGGAAGCAUAGGAACAGGAGAAAUAAGAACUUUUAAAGAGAAAGAACCCGAGCUGGUCUUCACAGCUACCCUCCAGCCCCACGUGCACAACUCCAUACAGCUGGCGCCUUAGAAAUACAACCAACAAAUCUAUACGCUCA